GCCCCCUUAGUUAAAUGGAUAUAACAAACCCCUCCUAAGGGUUAGUUACUGGUUCGAUUCCAGUAGGGGGUGCCA
rnacentral:tRNA from 1 species